GAUGAACGCUAGCGGCAGGCUUAACACAUGCAAGUCGAGGGGUAUAGAAAGCUUGCUUUCUAGAGACCGGCAAACGGGUGCGGAACACGUACACAACCUACCUUUAUCAGGGGGAUAGCCUUCGGAAACGGAGAUUAACACCCCAUAGUAUUAUGGAGUGGCCUCAUUUUAUAAUUAAAGAAUUUCGGCUAGAGAUGGGUGUGCGUAAGAUUAGCUAGUUGGUGAGGUAAAGGCUCACCAAGGCAACGAUCUUUAGCUGACGUGAGAGCAUGAUCAGCCACACGGGCACUGAGACACGGGCCCGACUCCUACGGGAGGCAGCAGUGGGGAAUAUUGGUCAAUGGACGGAAGUCUGAACCAGCCAUGCCGCGUGAAGGAUGAAGGCGUUCUGCGUUGUAAACUUCUUUUAUUUAGGAAGAAACCACUUUUUUUUAAGAGUGUUGACGGUAUUAAAUGAAUAAGCACCGGCUAACUCCGUGCCAGCCGCCGCUGUAAAAC
rnacentral:rRNA from 1 species